rnacentral:rRNA from 1 species
AGAGGGUGCAAGCGUUAAUCGGAAUUACUGGGCGUAAAGCGUGCGUAGUCGGUUAUCUAAGUCGGAUGUGAAAUCCCCGGGCUCAACCUGGGAAUUGCAUUCGAAACUGAAUAGCUAGAGUUCGGCAGAGGGAAGUGGAAUUUCCGGUGUAGCGGUGAAAUGCGUAGAUAUCGGAAGGAACAUCAGUGGCGAAAGCGACUUCCUGGACCAGAACUGACGAUCAGGCACGAAAGCGUGGGGAGCAAACAGGAUUAGAUACCCUGGUAGUCCACGCCAUAAACGAUGACAACUAGACGUUGGGAGGGUAAGCCUCACAGUGUCGCAGCUAACGCGUUAAGUUGUCCGCCUGGGGAGUACGGCCGCAAGGUUG